rnacentral:pre_miRNA from 1 species
GUGUCCAAACUGGAGAAGCAGGGCACAUGCAAAAUUUGUCAGAUUUUUUUUGGUCUGAUAGCUUUAGCAUGUGCCCUGCUUCUCCAGCAUGGCUUA